rnacentral:rRNA from 1 species
CAAAAACAUGUCUUUUUGUUAAAAAUAAAAAGUCUAACCUGCCCACUGAUAAAAUAUUGAAGGGCCGCGGUAUAUUGACUGUGCAAAGGUAGCAUAAUCAUUUGUCUCUUAAUUGGAGGCUGGAAUGAAUGGUUGAAUGAAAUAUUAACUGUCUCAAUUUUAAAAAAAUAAAAAUUUAAUUUUUAAGUCAAAAAGCUUAAAUGUUUUUAGAGGACGAGAAGACCCUAUAGAUCUUUAUAUUUAUUUGAAUAUUAUAAUAUAGAAAAAUAAUUAAUAAUAUUUAAAUAAAUAUUUUAUUGGGGUGAUAGGAAAAUUUAAAAAACUUUUUUUAUUGUAAAACAUAGAUUUAUGAAUAUUUGAUCCAUUAUUUAUGAUUAUAAGAUUAAGUUACCUUAGGGAUAACAGCGUAAUUUUUUUAAAGAGUUCAUAUCGAUAAAAAAGAUUACGACCUCGAUGUUGAAUUAAAGUUAUUUUUAGAUGUAGCAGUUUAAAAUUUAGGUCUGUUCGACCUUUAAAUCUUUACAUGAUCUGAG